GCCAGGAGCAGUGGCGCACGCCUGUAAUCCCAGCAGCUUGGGAGGCUGAGGCAGGAGGAUCAUGAGUUCAAAGCUAGCAAUUUAGUGAGGCCCUGAGCAAUUUAGCAAAUCCCUGUCUCUA
rnacentral:sRNA from 1 species